ACGAACGCUGGCGGCGUGCUUAACACUUGCCAGUCGAACGGAAAGGCCCUGCUUUUGUGGGGUGCUCGAGUGGCGAACGGGUGAGUAACACGUGAGUAACCUGCCCUUGACUUUGGGAUAACUUCAGGAAACUGGGGCUAAUACCGGAUAGGAGCUCCUGCUGCAUGGUGGGGGUUGGAAAGUUUCGGCGGUUGGGGAUGGACUCGCGGCUUAUCAGCUUGUUGGUGGGGUAGUGGCUUACCAAGGCUUUGACGGGUAGCCGGCCUGAGAGGGUGACCGGCCACAUUGGGACUGAGAUACGGCCCAGACUCCUACGGGAGGCAGCAGUGGGGAAUAUUGCACAAUGGGCGGAAGCCUGAUGCAGCAACGCCGCGUGCGGGAUGACGGCCUUCGGGUUGUAAACCGCUUUCGCCUGUGACGAAGCGUGAGUGACGGUAAUGGGUAAAGAAGCACCGGCUAACUACGUG
rnacentral:rRNA from 1 species